rnacentral:sRNA from 1 species
GCUGGGUAUGGUGGUGCAUGCCUGUAAUCCCAGUGACUUGGGAGGCUGAGGCAGGAGUAUGACAAAUUUAAGGCCAGCUUCAGCAACAUAGUGAAGUCCUAGGCAACAUAGUGACACCCCUGUCUCAA